AACGAACGCUGGCGGCGUGCCUAACACAUGCAAGUCGAACGAGAAAGGGGCUUCGGCCCUGAGUAAAGUGGCGCACGGGUGAGUAACACGUGGGUAACCUGCCUCUAAGACUGGGAUAACUCGUCGAAAGAUGAGCUAAUACCGGAUAAGACCACAGCUCCUGCGGGGACAGGGGCCAAAGGUAGCCUAUGCUUGCAAGCUAUCACUUAGAGAUGGGCCUGCGUACCAUUAGCUAGUUGGUAGGGUAACGGCCUACCAAGGCAAAGAUGGUUGGCUUGUCUGAGAGGAUGGUCAGCCACACUGGAACUGAGACACGGUCCAGACUCCUACGGGAGGCAGCAGUGGGGAAUAUUGCGCUAUGGGCGAAAGCCUGACGCAGCAACGCCGCGUGAGUGAUGAAGGCCUUCGGGUCGUAAAGCUCUGUCGGAGGGAACGAAUGCUCCCGAGGUUAACAGCCUCGGGAAGUGACGGUACCCUCAAAGGAAGCACCGGCUAACUCUGUGCCAGCCGCCGCCGUAAAAC
rnacentral:rRNA from 1 species